UUCGCAAUGCCCGAAAGGGUGACGAAGCGACGCCGCGUGUGGGAAGAAGGCCUUCGGGUUGUAAACCACUGUCGGGAGUUAAGAAAUGUAAGGAUGUUAAUAGCGUCCUUACUUGACUAAGGCUCCAGAGGAAGCCACGGCUAACUCUGUGCCAGCAGCCGCGGUAAUACAGAGGCGGCAAGCGUUGUUCGGAAUUAUUGGGCGUAAAGAGCACGUAGGCGGCCAUGUAAGUCGGUUGUGAAAGCCUUCCGCUCAACGGAAGAACAGCAUCCGAUACUACAUGGCUUGAGUGCGGGAGGGGAGAGUGGAACUUCUGGUGGAGCGGUGAAAUGCGUAGAUAUCAGAAGGAACGCCGGCGGCGAAAGCGGCUCUCUGGCCCAUAACCGACGCUGAGUGUGCGAAAGCUAGGGGAGCAAACGGGAUUAGAUACCCCGGUAGUCCUAGCCGUAAACGAUGGGCACUAAGUAGAGGGGUUUUA
rnacentral:rRNA from 1 species